UAGGGAAUUUUCGUCAAUGGGCGCAAGCCUGAACGAGCAAUGCCGCGUGAACGAGGAAGGUCUUCGGAUCGUAAAGUUCUGUUGAAGGGGAAAAAGAGCGGAGAGAGGAAAUGGUCUCCGAUUGAUAUUACCCUUCGAGGAAGUCACGGCUAACUACGUGCCAGCAGCCGCGGUAAUACGUAGGUGGCGAGCGUUAUCCGGAAUGAUUGGGCGUAAAGGGUGCGUAGGCGGCCUGCUAAGUCUGGAGUGAAAGGUACCGGCUCAACCGGUACAGGCUCUGGAAACUGGCGGGCUAGAGAGCAG
rnacentral:rRNA from 1 species